UCUGCCAUAGGUUUAACUUAUACCUCUAUGUAUUGUAAGAAAGGUGAUUACUGGACUCACAUUAAUGCAAACUUGAACUAAAAUGAGGUUGUAACUUGUGGGUUGUUGGGUUGCAAAUCAGAAACAAACAGCUUUGGAUUUUUUUAAUCCCAUAAGAGCUAGAAACACAGGUUUUAUUCAACAAAACAUUACUGUUUAACCAAGCACAGUGCCUGCUGUUAUUUCAAAAUAAUUUUAUGUCAUUUCAGAUAAAAUGCAGCAUUCCAGUGCAUCCCAACCAUGCCUUUACAGUCAAGGUUUCUGACGGAGCUGAGUUUCUCUCUGACAGUCUGCUGAGAGUGUUUGCAAAGUGAUCGGGGCAACAGGGCACAAAAGCUAAAGGAUGUAGCUGCCAUGAUGACAUUAAGGAUGACAUUAAUGCUCGAAGGGAGUCCCUCAUCAAAGUGCUCCGCAUCUGAGUGAAAGACAAUUGCAACAUCUUGGUGCAGGAGUUCAUGGACUUGACUGAGGCCACUGCACAGAUUGAGAAAACCACAGUGAACAUCUAUCUC